GUGAACGCUGGCGGUAGGCCUAACACAUGCAAGUCGAACGGCAGCACAGUAAGAGCUUGCUCUUACGGGUGGCGAGUGGCGGACGGGUGAGGAAUACAUCGGAAUCUACUUUUUCGUGGGGGAGAACGUAGGGAAACUUACGCUAAUACCGCAUACGACCUACGGGUGAAAGCAGGGGAUCUUCGGACCUUGCGCGAUUGAAUGAGCCGAUGUCGGAUUAGCUAGUUGGCGGGGUAAAGGCCCACCAAGGCGACGAUCCGUAGCUGGUCUGAGAGGAUGAUCAGCCACACUGGAACUGAGACACGGUCCAGACUCCUACGGGAGGCAGCAGUGGGGAAUAUUGGACAAAGGGCGCAAGCCUGAUCCAGCCAUACCGCGUGGGUGAAGAAGGCCUUCGGGUUGUAAAGCCCUUUUGUUGGGAAAGAAAAGCAGCAGGUUAAUACCCCGCUGUUCUGACGGUACCCAAAGAAUAAGCACCGGCUAACUUCGUG
rnacentral:rRNA from 1 species